UACGAAGGGGGCUAGCGUUGCUCGGAAUCACUGGGCGUAAAGGGUGCGUAGGCGGGUCUUUAAGUGAGGGGUGAAAUCCUGGAGCUCAACUCCAGAACUGCCUUUGAUACUGAGGAUCUUGAGUUCGGGAGAGGUGAGUGGAACUGCGAGUGUAGAGGUGAAAUUCGUAGAUAUUCGCAAGAACACCAGUGGCGAAGGCGGCUUACUGGCACGAUACUGACGCUGAGGCACGAAAGCGUGGGGAGCAAACAGG
rnacentral:rRNA from 1 species